AAAAGGGAGAAAGAAAAUCUUAUUCUGUCUGAAAAUUAAGUUUAGCAAAAUCGAUGCGUGGGUGAGUUCAGAGGUCUGCGUAGGUCAACGUCUGACCCGUGAGUCAUAGGUUCGCCAUCACUGUUUUAUAGGAAACCGACAUAUGAACUGAUCAUCAUACAAAAGUAGUCACCUGAUCCAGCCCCCUACAAAGCAGUGGCUCUUAGAUAUUACUUCAAAAAGACUAAUAGUUACGUCUCUAACCAAAAUGAGAUGAAAGAGGAGUUUGAUUACAUUUAUAAUAUAGGCCGAUUAUAUGGAUAUAGCAAACAUUUCUUAAAGGUGAUUUAUAAUAAAAUACGAACUCUUCAAUGAAUAAAAACGCUAAUGAUGAAGCUAGAGGAGUGGACUAUGAGCCUGUCCCAUAUGCAAUGGAGUGUUAUAAUGUCACAAAGAUGCUGGCCAUGAAAAGUAAGAAAAAUUGGCCUUUAAAAGAUACCUGGCUCUUUAUAGCCAGCUUAGAAAUGAAAAAGAUAGAAUUGAGAAUAAACAGCAUUUGGGAGUAUACAAAAUAUCGGUAAUGAAUAAUGAAGCAUGUAGAAAAGAAGCUUACAUGGGGGUGACAAAUAGGACACUAGAACAAAGGUUGAAAGAGCAUAAAAAAAGAUCUUGCCAAUGGCAAUUUGCGUACAGCUUUGGCAAUAUCUGUGUACGAGAAAGAUAUACAGGUUAAUUGGCAUGAAGCAGAAGUAGUAAGGGACCUGAGAAAAGAGAAGGAUGUGCUCUUAGCUGAAGCUAUGGAGAUUUACAUCAAUAGCAAGAAAGAAAACCUCUUAAAUAGUUAUCCAGCGCAAGAGUUGUCAGCACUGUGGAGGUAUCUCCUGAAUGCGACAGCCUCUUAGCGCUGCCUUUAUUUUGAUGUGGUGGUUGUAUGGCCAGAGCUGUAGUUCGUGAGUUUUAAAUAUUAGAACUUUAAUUUUGAUUUUAAUUUUAAUGUUUUAGUUUUUUGGUUUCAAUUUUAUGGUUGUGUUCUCUAGGACUAAUAAUGAUGGUUUGUGUGUAUUUUUAUUUAUUUUUAGCUUACAUUAUCCUAGUUGUUAUUUUAUUUUAUGUGGUUAC
rnacentral:lncRNA from 1 species